rnacentral:rRNA from 1 species
UACGGAGAAGGCAAGCGUUAUCCGGAAUUAUUGGGCGUAAAGCGUCCGUAGGUGGUUGACCAAGUCUGCUGUCAAAGGGUGGGGCUUAACCUCAUAAAGGCAGUGGAAACUGGUGAGCUAGAGUGCGGUAGGGGUAAGGGGAAUUCCCAGUGUAGCGGUGAAAUGCGUAGAGAUUGGGAAGAACAUCGGUGGUGAAAGCGCCUUGCGGGGCCUGCAUUGACAAUGAGGGACGAAAGCUAGGGGAGCGAAAGGG